AAAAAAAAGAGAAAAAGAGGGAAAAAAGUUGGAAAUUUUGGAAUUUCGUCGGAUUUGUCGUCAAACUUUCGAAGGCGAAUUUUCGGUAUGUUUAGUUGCUGACGUGCAUUGGGGUUGGAUCUGGGUAGUUGCACGCACGCCCUCAUCACAAAGCCAAUAGUCUCCCGAUGUUUGAGUUGAGCUUUGUUGAUGGGUUGACGAUUGAUUUGGUAUAUGUUGUGGUGAGACGCUGGUAGCGUCGUGAAGGUUAUUUAUAUGUUGGUUAUAUCUGUU